rnacentral:rRNA from 1 species
UACGGGGGGGGGCAAGCGUUGUUCGGAAUUACUGGGCGUAAAGGGCGCGUAGGCGGCCUACUAAGUCGGACGUGAAAUCCCUCGGCUCAACCGAGGAACUGCGUCCGAUACUGGUGGGCUUGAAUCCGGGAGAGGGAUGUGGAAUUCCAGGUGUAGCGGUGAAAUGCGUAGAUAUCUGGAGGAACACCGGUGGCGAAGGCGGCAUCCUGGACCGGUAUUGACGCUGAUGCGCGAAAGCGUGGGGAGCAAACAGG